AACGCACCUUGCGCUCCUUGGUAUUCCUUGGAGCAUGCCUGUUUGAGUGUCGUGUACCCUCUCAAUCCACAUCCUAUUUCAAAGCUUCCCCUUGCGGGAAACCAGAAACUGGCGCUUGUUCGGAUUGGAUCGUGGCCGCCUGCCGUUUUGAGCCCCCUUUACCAAGGGGGCCCAGCCUGGCUCGGCCGAAAUACAGACAAGUGAUGUUUUGCCUGCUUCAGAUGGCGGAUCGGCUUGAACUCGACGUUGUAAUUUCUCCCUCGUUGACUACGAUCUUUGCUGUUAUUGGAGAUUUGGGUCUCACUUUGAGAACACACACACCUUUUGAGUAAAUCUGACCUCAAAUCAGGUAGGACUACCCGCUGAACUUAA
rnacentral:rRNA from 1 species